rnacentral:rRNA from 1 species
UGGGGAAUAUUGCACAAUGGGCGAAAGCCUGAUGCAGCAACGCCGCGUGAGUGAUGAAGGCCUUCGGGUUGUAAAGCUCUGUCUUCUGGGACGAUAAUGACGGUACCAGAGGAGGAAGCCACGGCUAACUACGUGCCAGCAGCCGCGGUAAUACGUAGGUGGCAAGCGUUGUCCGGAUUUACUGGGCGUAAAGGAUGCGUAGGCGGAUAUUUAAGUCAGAUGUGAAAUUCCCGAGCUUAACUUGGGAGCUGCAUUUGAAACUGGGUAUCUAGAGUGUGGGAGAGGAAAGUGGAAUUCCUAGUGUAGCGGUGAAAUGCGUAGAGAUUAGGAAGAACCCCAGUGGCGAAGGCGACUUUCUGGACCAUAACUGACGCUGAGGCAUGAAAGCGUGGGGAGCAAACA